rnacentral:lncRNA from 1 species
UUUUGUGAUAUUUUUGAAAUGUGCAGUAGCUUCCAUUUCCUUGUGGAGUCCCUGUCCUCUGGCACAAUAAUGAGAAGCAUAAUAAUCAUUUGCAAACAAAUAACUGUAUCCUGCCCUUUGUGACUUUUCCUACCUUGUGAUGACUUCUUUUAUUUUAAUCACAAUUUUAUCUCCUUCUGAUCCUGACUCUUAAGCUCUGGUUUCUCUUGAUCUGAGGAAGCUUUGAAGUUCAUUUUAACCCAAUUUCGCCUGAGGAAAUAUAUUUCAGUACUAGAG